rnacentral:rRNA from 1 species
UACGUAGGGGGCAAGCGUUGUCCGGAAUCAUUGGGCGUAAAGCGCGCGUAGGCGGCCCGGUAAGUCCGCUGUGAAAGUCGGGGGCUCAACCCUCGGAUGCCGGUGGAUACUGUCGGGCUUGAGUGCGGAAGAGGCGAGUGGAAUUCCUGGUGUAGCGGUGAAAUGCGCAGAUAUCAGGAGGAAGACCGGUGGCGAAGGCGGCCUGCUGGGCAGAUACUGACACUGAGGCGCGACAGCGUGGGGAGCAAACAGG